GAUUAAACCCCGCAACGAGCGCAACCCUUGCCCUUAGUCGCCACCUUAAGGUGGGCACUCUAAGGAGACUGCCGGUGACAAACCAGAGGAAGGUGGGGCACGACGUCAAGUCAUCAUGGCCCUUACGUGUAGGGCUACACACGUGCUACAAUGGCAUUUACAGAGGGAAGCGAGACAGUGAUGUGGAGCGGACCCCUUAAAGAAUGUCGUAGUCCGGAUUGGAGUCUGCAACUCGACUCCAUGAAGUCGGAAUCGCUAGUAAUCGCAGGUCAGAAUACUGCGGUGAAUACGUUCCCGGGCCUUGUACACACCGCCCGUCACACCAUGGGAGUGGGAUGCAAAAGAAGUAGUUAGUCUAACUUCGGGAGGACGAUUACCACUUUGUGUUUCAUGACUGGGGUG
rnacentral:rRNA from 1 species